AGUAAGAGAAUGAAGAAGAAAAUUAUGGAAGUCUAACCUCAAGAAAUCCUCAUAAAUCUCUCUUAAUUAACUACAUAAAGGACUGAACUUAAUAGCUGCAAGAAGCUGUAAUUAUUCUCAGCCAAAUUGAGAGAAAAAUAGAAAUUAUAUGAGAAUACACCAAGAUCCUUGAGAAGUAGCAGCAUACAAAGUGAAUGUAAGGGAAAAAAGAGAGAUUAGUCUCUUGCCUGAAAGCUGUGUAAUUCCUUGAAAGAGCUUCAAUGUUGUGUUGUGACUGCAAGAGUCUGUUUUAGUUUUAGUUUAGUAGAGAGACUUGUUUUCUGAAUUGAAAAAGGAGAAUAAGACAAUUAGUGAAUUGCAAGGUGGAAAAGUAAGGACAUGACAUAAUCAUUUAUUGUUUGAUUGCAGGUUCAAAAAAUUCUCAUUUUCUUUGAAUUAUUGCAAAAUUUUCAUUUUCUUAUGAUAAAUGAUUAUACUGAUAUAAUUAUUUGUUUUUUAUAUGCCAUAAUGUUGUUUAUUUUUAACUUUUU
rnacentral:lncRNA from 1 species